rnacentral:misc_RNA from 1 species
UAUCAAGCCUGCAAUGCCAUUAAUGCUGAGUUGGGUCCUAGGAGGAAAUAGUUCAAAGCUAGAAGGAAGAUGGCAAUCUUGCCGAUUAAGUGACAAGGCAAGUGACCAGCUAAAAACAUGGUUUGAAGAUGAUGAUGAACUGGAACGCACCCUUUCUGGAGAGUGGUAUUUGUUCCCUGUAAAUCUUGUAGAUAGCGGAGUAUUACAUCCCAUUCGAUUGAUCAAAGAUGCUGAAA